UACGAAGGGGCUAGCGUUGCUCGGAAUUACUGGGCGUAAAGGGAGCGUAGGCGGACAUUUAAGUCGGGGGUGGAAAUCCCGGGGCUCAACCUCGGAAUUGCCUUUGAUACUGGGUGUCUUGAGUAUGAGAGAGGUGUGUGGAACUCCGAGUGUAGAGGUGAAAUUCGUAGAUAUUCGGAAGAACACCAGUGGCGAAGGCGACGCACUGGCUCAUUACUGACGCUGAGGCUCGAAAGCGUGGGGAGCAAACAUGAUUAGAUACCCGGGUAGUCCCUGA
rnacentral:rRNA from 1 species